GGAGCGAUGCCCGAGAGGUUCAAGGGAGCGCCUUGCUAAGGCGUCGAUUACUUACGUAGUCCGAGGGUUCAAAUCCCUCUCUCUCCG
rnacentral:tRNA from 1 species